UUAUUUUUUUUUUUUUUAAUUUCAAGAGAACAUAUCGCAGUGGAACAGUAUCGUAAGGCUGUUCUCACAAAUCCUUUGGGAAAGGUAGGAUGAUGUAUUGGCCCAAGGAAUACACUGUUUUGUCUUCUGGCAGCCCUUCAACAAAGAAUAAGAAUUCUGGAUAUGCAUCAUCAAUCUCCAAGAAUAAAAUAGGCUCCAAUACGAGAACAUUAUUUCUCAAUUUUAUCCAUCAUCUUGUUUUAUAUCAAUCUUCCCAAUUACAGUGCUGCUGCAUCUGUCAAGAUGAGUCUUCUGCUGUGUUUAAAGAAUGUUUAAAACUAUUGUGGUCAACCUGAAAACUUGAGUCAGCAGUGCGACAGUGUGGCAGACGGUUGUGCCAUGUCCAGAACAUGCUUGCCGCUACUUGGUCCUCCAAAGGCCUCAUUGUGAAUGCUGUGUCCAGUUGCGACCACUGUUUAUACAAAGUGCAGACUAAUUUGGUAAUUUCUCAAGAUGAUGAAGCAAUAGCAUGACCAUUACAUUUUUGGUCAUUAGUUUUUUCUUAAAUGAUGUUCAAAAAGUUCAGCUUUUUUCUAUCUGAAUUUUUAAAAAGAAGAUUGUCCCAUAACCUGUUACUGUUUGUUAGUUUUGUUGUUGUUGUUUUAGUUGUUGAUAGGGUUUUUGGCUGAUGGUAUUCUUUUUGGGGUGUGUGUCUUUUUUUUUUUUUAAUUUUGUUUUCUCAUUAAUGUUUUAAUAAAAAAAACUUUUUCUCUC